GUUGUCCGGAUUUACUGGGCGUAAAGGGCGCGUAGGCGGCUUAACAAGUCACUUGUGAAAUCUCCGGGCUUAACUCGGAACGGCCAAGUGAAACUGUCAAGCUAGAGUGCAGAAGGGGCAAUCGGAAUUCUUGGUGUAGCGGUGAAAUGCGUAGAUAUCAAGAGGAACACCUGAGGUGAAGACGGGUUGCUGGGCUGACACUGACGCUGAGGCGCGAAAGCCAGGGGAGCAAACGGG
rnacentral:rRNA from 1 species